CUUCCCAGUCAUGAACCCGCACCCCGAGUCAGGGUUCUCCCCUCACGACCCUCCCCGUGGUCCCUGCACAAUCUGGGAGAGACGUGGCACUGCCGGUGCAGAGCUGCCGGGGGAGGACUCCAGGCCAGGGCACAGUCACCGCGCAGGCAAGAGACAGGAUGCCCGGGGCCGCGGCUGUCAGCGCAGCCGCCAUCUUAUGGCUGAAGGGGACUGAGGGCGAGCUGGGCAAGGAGAACUUCGGGCACAGAUUGUGGAGCUGACAGCAGGGAGACCUGAGUCCCGCCACAGCCACUUUUCACUGGUUUCAACCAGCACCUCCCCCUCUCUCGAGAUGUUGGACCGGACACAUUCACCAUUUCUAGGCUUCCAGGGGAUGCCGGAGUCUUAGCUGUGGAUCUUUCAAUACUGCAGGUCACAGGGCCACAGAAGCUGGGCCUCUAGGAGCAGAGGACACUGAGCAGUGAAGACGAGACCUUGAGCUCCGGCUGCAGAGGAGUGGCUGACUCUGGAGCCCAAGCUGUUGCUUCCCAGUCUGGUGGUGAAUCCUCCAUAGUCUGAUUAUUUAAUCAGCAGGAAGAUCAACAGGCCAAAAUUUCCACCAUAACUGUAAACUUGAAUGUGGAUGAAUGGAUUACAACGUGUUCAAGCCUUGCAAUGAGAGGCA